AUUGUACAAAAUUUAUAAAAUUAAAUCUCCUUCAUUUGGUCUUUCUCCCAAUGGGCCCAAACCCAUGUCUUAUGAUAAUAGACCCACAUUUCCUUGUGUAUUUAGGAAAUAGUAUAUAUUAUAGCUAUAUGGUUUUUUGUGUACUGUGUGUCCAAGCAAUAUUUUGAAAGAAAGGCGAUAAAUAAGUAUUACCCACCGGAGUUUGAUCCUUCAAGACUGCCGAGAAGAAAAAGAUCGCACAAUCGGCAAUUGAAGAUAAGGAAUAUGCUUCCAAUUAGAAUCCAAUGUAAACAUUGCGUACUUACAUGACGGAAGGGAGCAAAUUCAAUUCGCGCAAAGAAAUCGCUUGUGAUCUAAUGCCUUGACAUGUUGUCUCUCCCAAGCAUCUGCCUCCCUUCAUAACUGCAUUCAGGUAUUGAGAAAGAUCUUGAAGAAAUCUAUCGAUGAGCUUUCAUUUGUCAACAAAAACACAAUUCAGGUUUUAAGUUGAGCUUUCCAUACAAAAUCACACAACUUGUGAAACAGCAAUGGCUAAUUCAAAUUUUAAAUUUGUCUUUCAGAAUUUACAAAGAAUCCAUUUGGCAUUGAGGUUUAAAUCGUUCGAGUAUUGCUUAGUUGUUCUAAAAGUUUCUGUGAUUAGGAUAAUGUGGAAUUCACAUUAAAAACAAACUUUAGUGAGUUAUAAUACUCGAACCAUAAUGCCAAAUCGACCAAAAACUAUGAAUUUCUAUUAAGCAUCAAUAAAGCUGGGUUCAUUUGAAAUAUUACAAUUAGCAUCUCAGUAUUCAUUCACAAAAUUGAUAGAUAUUGCAUGGGCAUGGUUGAAAAUGAAAGAUGUUACCCACUCCUAAAUGAGUUAUGAUCACCAAAUAAGCCAAUGAAAAUCUA